rnacentral:rRNA from 1 species
UACGUAGGGGGCUAGCGUUGUCCGGAAUCAUUGGGCGUAAAGAGCGUGUAGGCGGCCCGGUAAGUCCGCUGUGAAAGUCGGGGGCUCAACCCUCGAAUGCCGGUGGAUACUGUCGGGCUAGAGUGCGGAAGAGGCGAGUGGAAUUCCUGGUGUAGCGGUGAAAUGCGCAGAUAUCAGGAGGAACACCGGUGGCGAAGGCGCUCUGCUAGGCCGCAACUGACACUGAGGGACGAAAGCUAGGGGGAGCGAAUGGG